rnacentral:piRNA from 1 species
UGAAGAUAGCAUUUGUAAGUAUCUA